rnacentral:rRNA from 1 species
CAGUCGCCACGGUAAAACGAAGGGGGCUAGCGUUGUUCGGAUUUACUGGGCGUAAAGCGCACGUAGGCGGACUUUUAAGUCAGGGGUGAAAUCCCGGGGCUCAACCCCGGAACUGCCUUUGAUACUGGGAGUCUUGAGUUCGAGAGAGGUGAGUGGAAUUGCGAGUGUAGAGGUGAAAUUCGUAGAUAUUCGCAGGAACACCAGUGGCGAAGGCGGCCAUCUGGGACAACACUGACGCUGAGGCACGAAAGCGUGGGGAGCAAACAGGAUUAGAUACCCCAGUAGUCCCUGUCUCUUAUAC